rnacentral:rRNA from 1 species
GACGAAGGUGGCAAGCGUUGUUCGGAAUUACUGGGCGUAAAGCGCGUGUAGGUGGCAAGGCAAGUCGGGUGUGAAAGCCCUGGGCUCAACCCAGGAAGUGCACUCGAUACUGCCUCGCUAGAGUCCCGGAGAGGUUGGUGGAACUCUCGGUGUAGAGGUGAAAUUCGUAGAUAUCGAGAAGAACACCGGUGGCGAAGGCGGCCAACUGGACGGUGACUGACACUGAGACGCGAAAGCGUGGGGAGCAAACAGG